AUAAAAAAGUUUUUACUUUAUCAUGAAGUUUAUGACAUUAAUAUUUGUUUUUAUAUAGGAGUUAGCAUAAAUUGUUAAUUUACUCACUAAAUAUUUGUAGUUACAAUGAAAAAGUUAUCAAUUAAAAAAAAUCAUUUUUUUUUUUUUUUAGUUUCUACAUCGCAGACACUUUUUCACCGAUACUUAAUCUUUUCUUGUAGACCAGAGUGAUAUUACCGAAUUGGUUUUCCUCAACAGUACGAAUUAGGUCUAACUCAGAUGUAUUCUCAUGAACAGAAGCUUUCUACAGUAACUCUUACUCUUGUUGGAGAUAAAAGUAUCUUGGUGAUUAAUGAUUGAUGGUCUUAUCGUCCUGACGUCAGUACUUGCGGGUUUAAAUAAUGUAAUAACGACGCUGCGGCGUCGAGCAAUGUCUUCUUCGUCAGUGAGCAGCUGCACGAAUGAGGAGGACGCCGAGGAUGUCGAGACAAAGCACAUUGGCUGGCGAUACAGCACGAGUAUCAUCAUUACUGUCAUCUCCGCCACCAAUAUCAUCAACGCCAUCCUCAGUACCGUCUGUAUACACUUGGAAGGACUGCGGCUAGAUGAGUUCGAAUAAUUCGAUACUCCUUGAAUGCGUUAGUGCAGCUAUCGCAUUUAUUUCACCUAAAAUUCAAGAGAAGAAAAAGAGGAAAGAGUAAAUAAGUAAAUAAACACAAACAAACAAGCUGGUUGAAUAAAUACUACAAACACUGCAACACACAGCCUGCAAAGUUGUGAUAACGAUGAGGUGACAAAAAAAAUUGGCCAUCGUUGCCGUUGUCAUCAUCGUAUAUG